rnacentral:rRNA from 1 species
CCUACGGUAGGCAGCAGUGGGGAAUAUUGCACAAUGGGGGAAACCCUGAUGCAGCGACGCCGCGUGAAGGAAGAAGUAUCUCGGUAUGUAAACUUCUAUCAGCAGGGAAGAAAAUGACGGUACCUGAAACAGAAGCCCCGGCUAACUACGUGCCAGCAGCCGCGGUAAUACGUAGGGGGCAAGCGUUAUCCGGAUUUACUGGGUGUAAAGGGAGCGUAGACGGAAAGGCAAGUCAGAAGUGAAAGCCCAAGGCUCAACCAUGGGACUGCUUUUGACACUGUCAAACUAGAGUACGGGAGAGGUAAGAGGAAUUCCUAGUGUAGCGGUGAAAUGCGUAGAUAUUAGGAGGAACACCAGUGGCGAAGGCGUCUUACUGGACCGAAACUGACGUUGAGGCUCGAAAGCGUGGGGAGCAAACAGGAUUAGAUACCCUAGUAGUC